GAGUUUGAUCAUGGCUCAGAUUGAACGCUGGCGGCAUGCCUUACACAUGCAAGUCGAACGGCAGCACGGGAGCUUGCUCCUGGUGGCGAGUGGCGAACGGGUGAGUAAUGCAUCGGAACGUAUCCUGGAGUGGGGGAUAACGUAGCGAAAGUUACGCUAAUACCGCAUAUUCUGGGAGCAGGAAAGCGGGGGACCUUCGGGCCUCGCGCUCUUGGAGCGGCCGAUGUCGGAUUAGCUAGUUGGUGAGGUAAAGGCUCACCAAGGCGACGAUCCGUAGCAGGUCUGAGAGGAUGAUCUGCCACACUGGAACUGAGACACGGUCCAGACUCCUACGGGAGGCAGCAGUGGGGAAUUUUGGACAAUGGGGGCAACCCUGAUCCAGCCAUGCCGCGUGAGUGAAGAAGGCCUCGGUUGUAA
rnacentral:rRNA from 1 species